AUACGGAGGAUCCGAGCGUUAUCCGGAUUUAUUGGGUUUAAAGGGUGCGCAGGCGGCCAUUUAAGUCAGCGGUUAAAUCGUGGGGCUCAACCCCAUUCUGCCGUUGAUGCUGGGUGGCUUGAUUGCGGUCGAGGUUGGCGGAAUUCGUUGUGUAGCGGGGAAAUGCAUAGAUAUGACGAAGAACACCGAUUGCGUAGGCAGCUGACCAGACCGCAAAUGACGCUCAUGCACGAAAGUGCGGGGAUCGAACAGGAUUAGAUACCCUGGUAGUCCGCACAGUAAACGAUGAAUACUUGUUUUCGGCGAUAUAAUGUCGGAGGCAAAGCGAAAGCGAUAAGUAUUCCACCUGGGGAGUACGCCGGCAACGGUGAAACUCAAAUGAAUUGGCGGGG
rnacentral:rRNA from 1 species